CUCUCGUCUUAUUUUGUUGGUUUCUCUGUGCGGGAGUAAUGAUUAAUAGGGACAGUUGGGGGCAUUCAUAUUCAGAUGUCAGAGGUGAAAUUCUUGGAUUUUCUGAAGAUGAACUACUGCGAAAGCAUUUGCCAAGGAUGUUUUCAUUAAUCAAGAACGAAAGUUAGGGGAUCGAAGACGAUCAGAUACCGUCGUAGUCUUAACCAUAAACUAUGCCGACUAGGGAUUGGUGGAUGUUAAUUGACGACUCCAUCAGCACCUUACGAGAAAUCAAAGUUUUUGGGUUCCGGGGGGAGUAUGGUCGCAAGGCUGAAACUUAAAGGAAUUGACGGAAGGGCACCACCAGGAGUGGAGCCUGCGGCUUAAUUUGACUCAACACGGGGAAACUCA
rnacentral:rRNA from 1 species